rnacentral:rRNA from 1 species
CCAAUAGCGUAUAUUAAAGUUGUUGCAGUUAAAAAGCUCGUAGUUGAAUUUCGGGGUUAGUAGUUUGGACGUGCCAAUGGUAUGUACUGGGCUCACUGAUUCCUCCUUCCUGAUGAACUGUAAUGCCAUUAAUUUGGUGUUGCAGGGAAACUGGACUGUUACUUUGAAAAAAUUAGAGUGUUUAAAGCAAGCUAACGCUUGAAUACAUUAGCAUGGAAUAAUGAAAUAGGACGUUCGAUCCUAUUUUGUUGGUUUCUAGGAUUGACGUAAUGAUUAAUAGGGAUAGUUGGGGGCAUUAGUAUUCAAUUGUCAGAGGUGAAAUUCUUGGAUUUAUUGAAGACUAACUACUGCGAAAGCAUUUGCCAAGGAUGUUUUCAUUAAUCAAGAACGAAAGUUAGGGGAUCGAAGACGAUCAGAUACCGUCGUAGUCUUAACCAUAAACUAUGCCGACUAGGGAUCGGAUGAUGUUAAUUUUUUUUAAUGGCUCAUUCGGCGCCUUAUG